UACAGAGGGUGCGAGCGUUAAUCGGAAUUACUGGGCGUAAAGCGCGCGUAGGCGGCUUUGCAAGUCGGAUGUGAAAUCCCCAGGCUCAACCUGGGAACUGCAUUCGAGACUGCUUUGCUAGAGUAUGGGAGAGGGAAGUGGAAUUUCCGGUGUAGCGGUGAAAUGCGUAGAUAUCGGAAGGAACAUCAGUGGCGAAAGCGACUUCCUGGACCAAUACUGACGCUCAUGUGCGAAAGCGUGGGGAGCAAACGGG
rnacentral:rRNA from 1 species